CUCCCUGAAGCCUGAACUCGGCAGGCCCCAGCAAGCCAGAAAGGAGGCUGGCAGAGCUCCCUGCAGCAGACCCUCCCUGCAGCAGACCAGACCAUCCAGCACAGCCUUUGCAAGUAUGAGCAGCAGGCCCGCAUUAAGAAGUGGCACAACGUUCUAGGGAGGAACAGAAUCCCAAGACAGAUGGAGCCUUCUUCCCACCAGCUGCUGCACUGAAUGCCCCCAACAGAGGAUCCAAUGUAAAACAAUAAGUAUUUCUGAUGCUUGCACACAAUAGCAGACUGCAUGCAUACAACUGGAUGCAAGAAUCGCUGCAUGCUCACCUAUAGAACAGAUUGUUGGUCUUGGGUUUGAGGAUCCAGAAAGUUGAGAAGAGGGGAUAUGAAAGAGCAAGACAUAUAACAUCAGAUUACUUCAUUUCCAAGGAGGCCACUUGAAUGGUAUACAGACUUCCUGGUUAUGGAUUCUCAACCUCGUGUUAUGGACACAGUUGCAAUGCUUACAUUUUUAGUUAUUAAGAUUUGUAAUUUUUUAAUAAAUAAUUUUGAAUCAAUAGAAGUUAUAAGGUUGUUUAUAACCAUUUAAUAUUUGUUGGUUAUAUUUAAUGCAAUUAUGUUUUACUUCUCCAGCUAUUGCAGUCUCUUUGUCUUUUAUGAUUUUAAUUAUAUUAUUCAUGGGACUGUUCAUCUGUUUUUAGGUUUGUAAAAUGAAAAUCUGCAGACCAUCAAUAAACAUGAUUCUGAUUCUACAGCAUUUCCCCAAAGCCAUGAAAAAAUGUUUAUAUGGGCCUUUGGUGGCUGGGGAUAAAUACAGGUGAAGUGUAAUUGUAUGAACUGUGUAAGUGUUUGUGCUGAUUGUAUGUGCCAUUACUGGCCUUGAGUUUGAGAAGAAAGAAUAAAGAAACAUGGCUAAAAUACAGUUGAAGUUGCCACCAUCUGUUGGGACAACUGGAUACAUGCUCAGUAUGCAGUAAGAUCUAAUGUGGUGUUGGUGUCUUUUGGGACUUGCUUUGUAGACGCAGAAAAACAAUGUCCCAACAUCUCUAAACUUACCCACAAAUAUAUUUUCUGCACUGGACAGUAUCCAAAAUGUCAUUUAUAAAAAGAUGUACAUCUUGUGAUGCUUGCAAGAAAGUGAUAGCUGGAAAGCAAUGAGCUGAAUUAGGGCCUGCUGAGCUAUUAGGGCUAUAAGAUUAUCUAGCACUGAAACACAUUUGGACAGCUUCAGUGCUUUCUGAGCAGACUGAGGAAGAAAUGUUUAAAGCGGGGAAAGCGUUAACUUUAAUGUCUAAAGGUUAAGGAUUCCCAACCCCUGAAUAUAUCAUCCUUUCCUUUUGUCUUCUCACCCCUUCUGAUGCUCUGUUCUGCUCAAGAUCACCUUCUACUGUUACCCUAGACCAGUGAUCUGUUUUUCAAGCAAGGGUUACUUUGCCCAAAAAAACUUUAGUGUGAGAGCCAUUUCCGACUGUGCUGACCUUUGCACAGUACUGCGCUUUUCUCAGUGCUGGGAGGGCCCUUUAAGCUCUUAGGAGCUCUAUGGGGAAAGUGCUGGGAAUGGCUGCACUUCCCAGCACUCGGUACACACCUUCUAAUACUGUGCAAGGGCUCAAGAGAGUUCUUUCCCUUAAAGGAGGCCCCUGGCAGGUGCUGGGCAAACCACAACACUGUACAGUGAGAAUGAUAGUCUCCACUGGGUGUUAGGGGGACUGUGCAGAGUAUUUAACUUCAGCCAAAGCUUCACACAGGCCCAAUAGUCAGGGGGGUGCACUUAGGGUUUAUGCCACUGGCCUCAGGGCCUUAACUUUGCUCUAGAAAGGUGGACAGGUCUGCUUCUGUGAAAGUGAAAAUGGGGCAACAUCUACAUUAAAAAACAAUGCAAUCAUUUUCUUCCAAAAAUAUUAUUCACAACAAAAAGUAUUUCCAGUAAAUAAAGUUUAGAAUAAUCUGUGUUGAAGAUUUGAUCUUUUGAAAUUUAGUUUUUGAAUCUUUACUUUUUAGUUUCCCAAUUACAUCCAUGAAAGGAAUAAAAAAAUUCUGAUCUCCAAUGAGGAUGGCUUUAUGUUUCAAUUUAUUAACAGCUGGAAGGUUUAUCUCCUAUUUUAUGUGCAUCAAUAUUAUGGAAAGAUGAAAAUGGGGAAAAAAACCAUAUUGCAUAUAAUUGCUUACCCCC